rnacentral:rasiRNA from 1 species
UAGACCGUUAGAGAAGAUGGACGU